rnacentral:rRNA from 1 species
GACGUAGGGUGCAAGCGUUGUCCGGAAUCACUGGGCGUAAAGGGUGCGUAGGCGGGUCUUUAAGUCAGGGGUGAAAUCCUGGAGCUCAACUCCAGAACUGCCUUUGAUACUGAGGAUCUUGAGUUCGGGAGAGGUGAGUGGAACUGCGAGUGUAGAGGUGAAAUUCGUAGAUAUUCGCAAGAACACCAGUGGCGAAGGCGGCUCACUGGCCCGAUACUGACGCUGAGGCACGAAAGCGUGGGGAGCAAACAGGG